GAUGAACGCUGACAGAAUGCUUAACACAUGCAAGUCAACUGUGGCGGACGGGUGAGUAACGCGUAAAGAACUUGCCUCACAGAUAGGAACAACAUUUGGAAACGAAUGCUAAUACCUGAUACGGUGAGAGAGCUUUGCGUCCCAUUAGCUAGUUGGAGAGGUAACGGCUCACCAAGGCGAUGAUGGGUAGCCGGCCUGAGAGGGUGAUCGGCCACAAGGGGACUGAGAGAAGGCCCUGACUCCUACGGGAGGCAGCAGUGGGGAAUAUUGGACAAUGGACCAAAGUCUGAUCCAGCAAUUCUGUGUGAACGAUGAAGUUUUCGGAAAGUAAAGUGCUUUCAGUUGGGAAGCAGUACCAACAGAAGAAGGGACGGCUAAAUACGUGCCAGCAGCCGCGGUAAUAC
rnacentral:rRNA from 1 species